GACGAACGCUGGCGACGCGCUUAACACAUGCAAGUCGAACGGAAAGGCCUGCUUUCCCUUGUGGAUUGCGGGUACUCGCGUGGCGAACGGGUGAGUAACACGUGAGUGAUCUGCCCCCAACUUGGGUAUAAGCCUGGGAAACUGGGUCUAAUUCCCGAUAGGACUGCAGGGUGGUGCCUGUGGUGGAAAACGAUUUUCUAGUGGUUGGGGAUGAGUUCGCGGCCUAUCAGCUUGUUGGUGGGGUAAUGGCCUACCAAGGCGGCGACGGGUAGCCGGCCUGAGAGGGUGGACGGCCACAUUGGGACUGAGAUACGGCCCAGACUCCUACGGGAGGCAGCAGUGGGGAAUAUGACACAAUGGGCGGAAGCCUGAUGCAGCGACGCCGCGUGGGGGAUGACGGCCUUCGGGUUGUAAACUCCUUUCGACCGCGAGGAAGCCACCUGGUUGGAAGGGUGGUGACGGUAGUGGUAGAAGAAGCACCGGCUAACUACGUG
rnacentral:rRNA from 1 species